ensembl:lncRNA
AUGCGCGUGUGGGGGGCGUGGCUGACGCGUAACCAGAGCUCCCGCUGGGCGGGUCAGCAGAGGCCCGGCGCUGGUACCGUGAUGGCUGUUCCGUCCGCGCCAUUCGGUGCUGCCUCCGUUCCACUGUGGACCCCGGGCCCUCAGACCCAAAGCUGGCGGAGGAGUGAAAAUGAGAAAGACAUCAGAUGGUCUGAUUCGUCUGGUGACGGUGGAGUGGAGUGGACAUCUCGAACGUCCUGCCGUCUUUCUCCCCGACCACAGUUUCUUCUGUUCUCCUCGGACAUCUGGGAGCGGUCCCUAGAAACUACCACCUCUGCGCCUCGACCUAUUUCCCCGGUCGCCGGGGCAUUAAGGACUACGGGUCACCACACGGGCCAAAAGAGCCUCCCUCUGCUUUUGCUCGGAGCAGAGCCACCAAGGGAGGCAGCAUGCUGCAAGCGAUCAGCCGCUGGAUGUGUUGUCAGGCAGAGGGAGAAGCAGACUCCAUGCAGGGAGCCGACAUGGGACUCGAUCCCAGGACCCCGUGAUCACGCCCUGGACCAAAGGCAGACGCUCAACCACUGAGCCGCCCAGGUGCCCCAGAUUAUUUCUUUUUAAAAUUUUGUCUUCACAUGUUUGUAGGCUGUCUACGAGCUUAUUUUUGGAGUCUUCACCCUAUAAUAAGUAAAAACGUACCUAUCUCCCACAGUAAAACAAAACACCCAGCACAUCCUCACUCUUUCCUUCCCAACACGCAAAUGAAAAGUUUUGUUUUAUAGAAUUCCAUUUCUGAUGUUGGAUUUCAUGUACAUUUUUGUUAGAGCAAUCUAAGUUGUUUCAAGGCAACCUAGCUGAUGUAGGUUGAGCCUUGCAAGGCAUGUAUAGCUAACAGUGGAGAAGAAAAGCACAAAAGUGGAUGUUAGGGACUGAAUUGCGUCCCCAUGACCUUUAAGUGUUGAAGCUCUAGCCCCCAGUAUGACUAUCUCUGGGGAUGGGGCUUUUCAGGAGAAAAUUAGAGUUAAAUGAGGUGGUGAGGGUGAAGCCCUAAUCCAACAGGACUGUGUCCUUCUAAGAAGAGGAAGAGACACCGGUGUGCUUUCUCUUUAUGCACAGGCAAAGGAAAGGCUGUGUGAGAAGAUGGCCACCUGCUCGCCAGGGAGAGAGGCCUCAGGAGAAACCAAACCUGUUAGCACCUUGAUCUUGGCCUUCCAGCCAAAAGACCCUACAAUGUAAGCCCUCCUGUAUGCAAUGUUUUGUGACAAUAGCCCUGGCAGCCUGAUACAGUUGAGUAUUUUAUGAUCUUCUCUUGCUCUAUGUUGAUGGAAAGUGCUCUAUGAACAUUUUCUUAUCUGAUCCUGGGAGAAGUUCAUUGAAAUGGCAAAACUUUUUAAAGGGACCAAAUGGAGAGACCUAUUUCCAAGGAUGCUUAAGACUUGCUGACUCGGCUAAACCUAGCAGACAUGUCAGCUUGGAAGCAGCCUCCUCUGCUGUGAGCUCUUGCCUCCCCGGGAACAGCCACUUGGAGUUUUCUAGGCUGGAGGGUUCCCAGGUGUGCCUGAUUUACCUGUGUGCCAAUGUAUCUGUGCGCCGAUGUACCUGCAGAGUGUUACUUUGUGCUGGUGGACCGGCCACAUAUGUAUCUUCUGCUCUGAUGGAGUGAUUGUGGAGCUUCCCCAGCUACUUAAUUCCUGCCUGUCAUUGGUUUGGCAUUUGAAAGUGAAAUCACAGACCUGGAUGCUGGCCAGGCUUUGGAGCUUGCUCUCCCCAUGUCUACCUUUCAGUUUAUGUACCUGUUUGCUUACUCGUAAGUUGAAGUGCACCCUGCUGCAUUUCACAAAUAAUGCAGCAAAUCCUUGAGAUUUAUUUUAAGGAUUGAUUAGAAAAGUCAAUGUUGUACACGAAGGAUUAAAACAAGAAAUAUUUGGAAUCUGCUUAUGUAUCUGUUAUCUCAAAGCCAAGUCUUGAUUCCUCCAAAAAUAUACUGCCACAAGCAAAAAGACUAUACACAUUGUAUAGUCUAUAUCAUGGGAAGAACGCGGGGCUGGCCCUCAGAAGACCUAGAUCCUGAUCUGAAUCUUGCUGCUUACCGAUGGUGUCACCUCGAGUUAGAGAACCUUCUCAGGCCUUGGGUUGUGCUUGCUUUCUUUCUUUCUUUCUUUCUUUCUUUCUUUCUUUCUUUUGUGAAACCAUAUAAAAUAAAUGUACCAUCUUAACCA